rnacentral:misc_RNA from 1 species
UGUCUUAGUUUUACAUUGAUGGCCAGGAAGUACUUGUCUCCACAAUCAUAAUAGGGCUUGGAUUGGAAUACGGAAUUUGUGUUGUUCUGAACAGUAGGUUUGAUAAGGUUAGUAUUGGAAUUUUGGUUAACAGAAGAAGUACUUCCAAUAGAAAUUGGUUUACUAGUAAUAGGAGCAGAAUUUAUUUACUGGUCAGAUCUGGAUUUUGCGGUUUAAGGGGGUAAGGAAACAUUUGAGUAGGUUUGGAAUAAGAAUUAUAAGGAGUCAAAUUGGAAGACAUAAAUCUGGGGUUGGAAUUGAAGGUUCUAUUCUUUUUGGUAUCCCAUAACUGUUCUUGCAGCUUAGCAAUCUCUAUUGCAUCAACUA